rnacentral:rRNA from 1 species
GACGAACGCUGGCGGCGUGCCUAAUACAUGCAAGUCGAGCGGACUUUCAAGAAGCUUGCUUUUUGAAAGUUAGCGGCGGACGGGUGAGUAACACGUGGGCAACCUGCCUGCAAGACGGGGAUAACUCCGGGAAACCGGGGCUAAUACCGGAUAAUAUCUUCCUUCGCAUGAAGGAAGGUUGAAAGGCGGCGCAAGCUGCCGCUUGCAGAUGGGCCCGCGGCGCAUUAGCUAGUUGGUGAGGUAACGGCUCACCAAGGCGACGAUGCGUAGCCGACCUGAGAGGGUGAUCGGCCACACUGGGACGGGGACACGGCCCAGACGCCUACGGGAGGCAGCAGUAGGGAAUCUUCCGCAAUGGACGAAAGUCUGACGGAGCAACGCCGCGUGAGCGAAGAAGGGCUUCGGAUCGUAAAGCUCUGUUGUCAGGGAAGAACAAGUACCGUUCGAACAGGGCGGUACCUUGACGGUACCUGACCAGAAAGCCACGGCUAACUACGUG